GAAUGACGGACUGAAUGGGGAUCCCUAUCAAAAAAAUUAAGAAUAUAUAAUUAGUUACGCAACCUUUCUCUCACUUAAUAGAUGUAUCUGGUCAGAUAUGGUACAGUACAAUACGAGACGAUGGAAUGCAAUGGGAUGGAUGGUAGAGGGCUGCCUGCACCCAAAAGCGAUGAUUCACUUGUCCCCUUGUCCAUAGGGACCUCGUGGCAUACAACCGAAACGACUCCCACUAGAUAGCCGCCCCUUUCUCUCUUUUUACAGCCUCGUGGACGGACGAAAGAAGGGCAGGAAGUUACAGAACGGGGCAGUGGGCUCGCGAAGUAGACAGCAAGCAACAGCUUCUCAGCCCCA
rnacentral:lncRNA from 1 species